rnacentral:rRNA from 1 species
GAUAGAAAGUUACUUCGGUACAUCGGUGACAGGUGGUGCAUGGUUGUCGUCAGCUCGUGUCGUGAGAUGUUGGGUUAAGUCCCGCAACGAGCGCAACCCCUAUUGUUAGUUGCCAUCAUUCAGUUGGGCACUCUAGCGAGACUGCCGGUAAUAAACCGGAGGAAGGUGGGGAUGACGUCAAAUCAUCAUGCCCCUUAUGACCUGGGCUACACACGUGCUACAAUGGUUGGUACAACGAGUUGCGAGUCGGUGACGGCGAGCUAAUCUCUUAAAGCCAAUCUCAGUUCGGAUUGUAGGCUGCAACUCGCCUACAUGAAGUCGGAAUCGCUAGUAAUCGCGGAUCAGCACGCCGCGGUCGAAUACGUUCCCGGGCCUU